UGCUGCCGCUCUGACGUGCAGAGGCUCAGGAUACAGACACCUUCGACAACAUCAGAGACACAGUGACGGACUUCGGCAGGAACGUGGCUGAAAAGGCCAAGGACACCUUCCACACCAUAAAGAACAGCGAGUUCGCCCAGCAAACACAUAACUGGUUCUCGGAGAACUUUGAGAAGCUCAAGAACAAGUUUUCGGAAUUGUCCCAAAACUAAAAGAAACUGGUCCGUGUCUUCAGUUCCCCACCACCCAUCCCUCUACCACCCACAAGGCUGCUGACCUCAACAUGCUGAGAGGCUGAAAUGCUUUGAUUUUCAUGUUGGCCAGAUUAAACAGUUUGCAAUCUUUUAAAAUGUAAACAAAGGUGCAAUAAAAACAUCAAAAUAUAUA